rnacentral:other from 1 species
AUUUCCCUGGGGAGUUCGUGAUUGCCCUAUAGAUUCUGAACCAAUAUAUUGAAAAAGGGAGCAAGUAUCAUCGGAGUGGUGUGCAUGCCCGGUUUACCGGGAAGCCUGAAAUUCCGAGUACAGCGCCCACCUGUUAGACUCGGUUCUAACUUCUACGGCAACACGGCGCUCCGGGGUCCCU